rnacentral:rRNA from 1 species
GACGAACGCUGGCGGCGUGCUUAACACAUGCAAGUCGAACGGAAAGGCCCUGCUUUUGUGGGGUGCUCGAGUGGCGAACGGGUGAGUAACACGUGAGUAACCUGCCCUUGACUUUGGGAUAACUUCAGGAAACUGGGGCUAAUACCGGAUAGGAGCUCCUGCUGCAUGGUGGGGGUUGGAAAGUUUCGGCGGUUGGUGAUGGACUCGCGGCUUAUCAGCUUGUUGGUGGGGUAGUGGUUUACCAAGGCUUUGACGGGUAGCCGGCCUGAGAGUGUGACCGGCCACAUUGGGACUGAGAUACGGCCCAGACUCCUGCGGGAGACAGCAGUGGGGAAUAUUGCACAAUGGGCGGAAGCCUGAUGCAGCAACGCCGCGUGCGGGAUGACGGCCUUCGGGUUGUAAACCGCUUUCGCCUGUGACGAAGCGUGAGUGACGGUAAUGGGUAAAGAAGCACCGGCUAACUACGUG